CUUUCGUGGUCUUUCGAGCCAUAUCGUAGUAGAUAUAACAACUCAAAUAAUGUGCGUGUGAAUAAUUAUAUUCUUCGACCAUUGCAUACUGCUAAAACAUUAAUUUGCUGCAGUAAUUUAAAAAAUAUAUAUUUUUCAUCCAUAUAAUUUUGCAAUUAACAUACUGUUCCGAAAUAUUAGUUGGGUAGGUGCUCCGCAUUUCCAGAUAAUAGGCGGCCGACAAGCGUUUCCAUGUUGGCAUUCAAAUAAUUUAUCGUUAGACGCAACCUUUAACAUUUCUUUGGGAUGUCAUCACUGCACUACUUUGUCAAACAUGCCAUUGCGAAAUACGGAAAAAGAUGAGAACAAUAUGUUAUGGACAAACUACAUUACCACAUCUGUAAUGUUGAUUCAUCACGCAACAAUGGUUGUGUCUAAUUGAUAUCAAAACUCAAUACAUUAAAAUGUGGUGCAGAGUAGAAACUAAAUAUCACAUGCAAUUUGCAAAAUAUGUAGCUGAUAA